CCCUUAGAUGUCCGGGGCUGCACGCGCGCUACACUGAAUGAAUCAGCGUGCUAGAAAACCUUGUUUGACAUGGCUAGGUAACCCAUUGAAAAUCAUUCGUGAUUGGGAUCGGGACUUGCAAAUGUGUCCCUUCAACGAGGAAUGCCUAGUAAGCGCGUGUCAUCAGCAUGCGUUGAUUACGUCCCUGCCCUUUGUACACACCGCCCGUCGCUACUACCGAUUGAAUGGCUCAGUGAGGCCUCCGGACUGGCUUAGGGAGGUUGGCAACGACCACCCCGAGCCGGGAAGCUGGUCAAACUCGGUCAUUUAGAGGAAGUAAAAGUCGUAACA
rnacentral:rRNA from 1 species